AGUGAACGCUGGCGGCGUGCCUAAUACAUGCAAGUCGAACGGAGUGGCGCUCGGGUGAGUAAUGUAUAGCUAAUCUGCCCUACACUAGAGGACAACAGUUGGCAACGACUGCUAAUACUCUAUAGUGUAGGAUGAGGAUAUAUUGUGUCAGCUAGUUGUUGAGGUAAUGGCUAACGAAGGCUAUGACGCAUAACUGGUCUGAGAGGAUGAGCCGUCACACUGGACGGGAGACACGGUCCAGACUCCUUCCGGAGGGAGCAGAAGGGAAAAGUGCUAAAGGGGGGAAAGUCUGAAGGGGCAACGCCGCGUGGAGGAUGACACUUGUCGGAGCGUAAACUCCUUUUGAUAGGGAAGCGGUACCUAACGAAUAAGCACCGGCUAACUCCGUGCCAGCAGCCGCGGUAAUUC
rnacentral:rRNA from 1 species